rnacentral:rRNA from 1 species
GACGAACGCUGGCGGCGUGCUUAACACAUGCAAGUCGAACGGAAAGGCCCUGCUUUUGUGGGGUGCUCGAGUGGCGAACGGGUGAGUAACACGUGAGUAACCUGCCCUUGACUUUGGGAUAACUUCAGGAAACUGGGGCUAAUACCGGAUAGGAGCUCCUGCUGCAUGGUGGGGGUUGGAAAGUUUCGGCGGUUGGGGAUGGACUCGCGGCUUAUCAGCUUGUUGGUGGGGUAGUGGCUUACCAAGGCUUUGACGGGUAGCCGGCCUGAGAGGGUGACCGGCCACAAUGGGACUGAGGUACGGCCCAGACUCCUACGGGAGGCAGCAGUGGGGAGUAUUGCACAGUGGGCGGGAGCCUGAUGCAGCGGCGCCGCGUGCGGGAUGACGGCCUGCGGGUUGUGAACCGCUUUCGCCUGUGACGAAGCGUGAGUGACGGUAAUGGGUGAAGAAGCACCGGCUAACUACGUG